GACAGAGGGUGCAAACGUUGUUCGGAUUUACUGGGCGUAAAGCGCGUGUAGGCGGCUUUGCAAGUCGGAUGUGAAAGCCCACGGCUCAACCGUGGAAGUGCAUCCGAAACUGCAUGGCUUGAGUCUCGGAGAGGAAGGUGGAAUGCUUGGUGUAGAGGUGAAAUUCAUAGAUAUCAAGCAGAACACCUGCGGCGAAGGCGGCCUUCUGGACGAUGACUGACGCUGAGACGCGAAAGCGUGGGGAGCAAACAGG
rnacentral:rRNA from 1 species